rnacentral:rRNA from 1 species
GCAAGUCGAGCGCUGAUUUCAGGGUAGCAAUAUUCUGAAGUCGGAGCGGCGCAAGGGUGCGUAACACGUGGGCAAUCUGCCAUGAAGUUUGGGAUAACUCGCUGAAAGGCGAGCUAAUACCGGAUGUGAAAAUCGGGAGGCAUCUCCUGACUUUCAAAGCUGGGGACCGUAAGGCCUGGCGCUUCUUGAUGAGCCCGCGGCCUAUCAGCUAGUUGGUGAGGUAACGGCUCACCAAGGCUAAGACGGGUAGCUGGUCUGAGAGGACGACCAGCCACACUGGAACUGAGACACGGUCCAGACACCUACGGGUGGCAGCAGUCGAGAAUUUUUCACAAUGGGCGCAAGCCUGAUGGAGCGACGCCGCGUGGGGGAUGAAUGGCUUCGGCCCGUAAACCCCUGUCAUUCGCGAUCAAACCUCAUUAUUUAAAAGAUGAUGAGCUGAUAGUAGCGGAAGAGGAAGGGACGGCUAACUCUGUGCCAGCAGCCGCGGUAAUACAGAGGUCCCGAGCGUUGUUCGGAUUCACUGGGCGUAAAGGGUGCGUAGGUGGUGAGGUAAGUCGGAUGUGAAAUCUCGGAGCUCAACUCCGAAAUGGCAUUGGAAACUACCUUGCUCGAGGGUUGGAGGGGGGA